UACGAAGGGGGCUAGCGUUGCUCGGAAUCACUGGGCGUAAGGCGCACGUAGGCGGAUUGUUAAGUCAGGGGUGAAAUCCUGGAGCUCAACUCCAGAACUGCCUUUGAUACUGACGGUCUUGAGUUCGGGAGAGGUGAGUGGAACUGCGAGUGUAGAGGUGAAAUUCGUAGAUAUUCGCAAGAACACCAGUGGCGAAGGCGGCUCACUGGCCCGAUACUGACGCUGAGGCACGAAAGCGUGGGGAGCAAACAGG
rnacentral:rRNA from 1 species